UGACGGUACCUGACUAAGAAGCUCCGGCUAAAUACGUGCCAGCAGCCGCGGUAAUACGUAUGGAGCAAGCGUUAUCCGGAUUUACUGGGUGUAAAGGGAGCGUAGACGGCGUGGCAAGUCUGAUGUGAAAGCUAUGGGCUCAACCCAUAAACUGCAUUGGAAACUGUCAUGCUAGAGUGUCGGAGAGGUAAGCGGAAUUCCUAGUGUAGCGGUGAAAUGCGUAGAUAUUAGGAGGAACACCAGUGGCGAAGGCGGCUUACUGGACGAUAACUGACGUUGAGGCUCGAAAGCGUGGGGAGCAAACAGGAUUAGAUACCCUG
rnacentral:rRNA from 1 species